rnacentral:rRNA from 1 species
GACGAACGCUGGCGGCGUGCCUAAUACAUGCAAGUCGAGCGGACGAAUCGAAAGCUUGCUUUUGAUUCGUUAGCGGCGGACGGGUGAGUAACACGUGGGCAACCUGCCCUGUAGACGGGGAUAACACCGAGAAAUCGGUGCUAAUACCGGAUAACACGAAAUGUCGCAUGACGUUUCGUUGAAAGACGGCGCAAGCUGCCGCUACAGGAUGGGCCCGCGGCGCAUUAGCUAGUUGGUGAGGUAACGGCUCACCAAGGCGACGAUACGUAGCCGACCUGAGAGGGUGAUCGGCCACACUGGGACUGAGGCACGGCCCAGACUCCUACGGGAGGCAGCAGUAGGGAAUCUUCCGCAAUGGACGAAAGUCUGACGGAGCAACGCCGCGUGAGCGAAGAAGGCCUUCGGGUCGUAAAGCUCUGUUGUUAGGGAAGAACAAGUAACGCAGUAACUGGCGUUACCGUGACGGUACCUAACGAGAAAGCCACGGCUAACUACGUG